AGGGCUGUAGCCAAGUGGUUAAGGCACCGGAUUUUGAUUCCGGCAUGCGUAGGUUCGAGUCCUACCAGCCCUGCCA
rnacentral:tRNA from 1 species